UUUAAGAUAGCUGGUUGAAUUUGACAAAAAAAAUUUGUUUAAUUUAACGUUAAAUUUGAUUAUGAGUAUGACUGGAUGGUAUUGUUAGAGUAAUAAAAGUUGGAGUAAAUACUUUUACUUUGAAUCCCACUUAAGUACAUCCAAUCAGGAUGAAAAAGGUAUAAAAUUGUUUCCACUCAGUUGCGCUAGAAAACAAACUAUUCGCUUGUUUUUUUACCAGCUUUUUACUCUAGAAUAUUGCAGAGUAAAUCAGAGUAACACUAUUGGAUAAUUAAUGCUUUCCAUUUUACUCUGAUUUACUCCAUUGACGUUUCCAGUCGGAUCCUAUAUUUUUACUAGUAUUGCUAAAACCUUAUUCUACACACGUGGACGGUGUUAGCAGUCGUUAAUUUUAUAAUGUAAAAUAUUACUCCUACUAACUUUAAAGACGCGUAGAUCCAUUAUACAAAGAUUCUGAAACUUGAUAGUUAUCAUUAUCAAAGAUCCCACCUAC
rnacentral:lncRNA from 1 species